UACGUAGGGUGCGAGCGUUGUCCGGAAUUAUUGGGCGUAAAGAGCUUGUAGGCGGUUUGUCGCGUCUGCCGUGAAAUUUCGGGGCUCAACCCCGAACUUGCGGUGGGUACGGGCAGACUAGAGUGUGGUAGGGGAGACUGGAAUUCCUGGUGUAGCGGUGAAAUGCGCAGAUAUCAGGAGGAACACCGAUGGCGAAGGCAGGUCUCUGGGCCACUACUGACGCUGAGAAGCGAGAGCAUGGGGAGCGAACAGG
rnacentral:rRNA from 1 species